rnacentral:rRNA from 1 species
AUUGAACGCUGGCGGCAUGCCUUACACAUGCAAGUCGAACGGCAGCACGGGUGCUUGCACCUGGUGGCGAGUGGCGAACGGGUGAGUAAUACAUCGGAACGUACCUUAUCGUGGGGGAUAACGCAGCGAAAGCUGUGCUAAUACCGCAUACGCCCUGAGGGGGAAAGCGGGGGAUCGAAAGACCUCGCGCGAUUAGAGCGGCCGAUGCCUGAUUAGCUUGUUGGUGGGGUAAAAGCCCACCAAGGCGACGAUCAGUAGCUGGUCUGAGAGGACGAUCAGCCACACUGGGACUGAGACACGGCCCAGACUCCUACGGGAGGCAGCAGUGGGGAAUUUUGGACAAUGGGGGCAACCCUGAUCCAGCAAUGCCGCGUGAGUGGAGAAGGCCUUCGGGUUGUAAAGCUCUUUUGUCAGGGAAGAAACACCGGCUCUAACACAGUCCGGGAAUGACGGUACCUGAAGAAUAAGCACCGGCUAACUACGUGCCAGCAGCCGCAGUAA